GGAAGCCAGGACUAAGGGGUUUGAAUUGAGGCAUACCUCCAAACCAUUACUAGAUUGCACCUUCUUUCCCUGGACGCCUAGGCUGUCUGUUAUGAAAAUUGUUGUUUGAGUACACUGAAAUCCCAUAUGAAGAAGGUAUCAUGGGCAAGUAAGUGGAAGAGAAUACUUGCCUUGGUUGACGGCGAUGACCUCAGAGUUACUGAUUAUGUUUUUUGUCGCCUGGUUCAUCGAGCGCACAUCGCACCCGAUCAGAAGUGGGGCCUACACAACUCGAACCAGUAUUGCAGUGAGAAAAUGCCGGAAAAUUGAGAACUGAAGCGACAAUGUUAAAUGCAUAUGGGAAAAUAAGUACCUUGGCAAGUGCCCAGAUGCUGAAGUGCGAGCGGUACUCAGCUUCAGUCAUCCCACCAUUCCCAACCUCAAGCAUGUCAGGAUCUGAGAUUGGAGCAGGACAUCGUCAAUUGAUCAGUUCAAUUCUGAUAAAUGUUUAGGCAAUUGCCAAUACUGGUACAGACUCGUCUGAAACUGUUACCGUUCCAUCCACCAGGUCCAGCGUAGGCGGCCCACUUGUCAUUCUGGUCCGCGCGGGAUGUCAUGCUGGAGUAACAAGGUAACUUAUGAUCAAUCCUGCUAAUUCUAGUACUCCAAUGAACAGUUGAUGCAAUGAGCAGCACCUGACCCAGUUGUCGGCGAUGUCGUCAGUUGUCCUCCAGCUAUUACCCAUGCUACCUGCCCAUGUAGCAGGGUUUUCUUUCCCCCUAAACAGCAACCGCACAAUAGAAUGAAACAGUAAUGUUUGAUGUUGCUACUGUCCAUCCUAAAUGUUAUGAAGAGCAAACUCACCAUUCACAGAGCGAGAAGAAGAUAUUCUUUCCGUA